UGGGGAAUAUUGGACAAUGGGCGAAAGCCUGAUCCAGCAAUACCGCGUGUGUGAAGAAGGCCUUCGGGUUGUAAAGCACUUUAAGUUGGGAAGAAAAGGCUUCACCUAAUACGUGAAGCCUUGACGGUACCGACAGAAUAAGCACCGGCUAACUCUGUGCCAGCAGCCGCGGUAAUACAGAGGGUGCUAGCGUUAAUCGGAUUUACUGGGCGUAAAGCGUGCGUAGGUGGUUUGAUAAGUCGAUUGUGAAAGCCCCGGGCUUAACCUGGGAAUUGCGGUCGAUACUGUCAGACUCGAAAACGGUAGAGGGAGGUGGAACUCCAGGUGUAGCGGUGAAAUGCGUAGAUAUCUGGAAGAACACCGAUGGCGAAGGCAGCCUCCUGGGCCUGUUUUGACACUGAGGCACGAAAGCGUGGGUAGCAAACAGGAUUAGAUACCCUGGUAGUCCACGCCGUAAACGAUGAGAACUUGACGUUGGUUUGCUUAGCAAAUCGGUGUCGUAGCUAACGCGAUAAGUUCUCCGCCUGGGGAGUACGGCCGCAAGGUUG
rnacentral:rRNA from 1 species